rnacentral:sRNA from 1 species
AUGUACCCACGUACAUUCCGGUUCCUCCGCGCGCCGUCCGCACCCACCUGACGACUGCUCGCUACGUUUUGUUAGCC